GUCAUAAUAAUGGAAUAGAAUACAGUCAUUUGAAAUUGAUGCAAAGAUAGAUAAAUUGACACGAUAAAACAAACAAACAAAUAUUGCCUGUAAUUAGUGCAUUGAUGUGUUGAUGUUGAACUUCCUGCGUCUCCCGCACACGUGCGCGUGCAGUGAGAUGUGUUUCUUUGGUAACGCACACCUGCUACACCAACAACACGCGGCGUGCCACCGUGACAGCUGUGACUGUAAACCCUAAAACUAUUAUCACACUACGCAAAGUUACUUUGUCGAACUCGGUGAAUCAGUGGGUUAAACUGAGCCUCUGAUCUCAAAGCAAAAGCGCAAAACCCCGGAGGUGAUCAUGUCCACAAAAGAGGUAAUAGAGAAAACAACUGAUGACGAGACGGACUGGCUUUAUGGAGAUGACAAUUUUGACGAAGAAGAGACAACAGAAAAGGAAGUUUUCAGUGCUCUGAUUGGUGAUGUUGAUGGAGUGAGUGGACUCAAUUACCAGGAAAGUGAAUCAGACAGUGAUGAUGAUGUCUGUGUGACCAUCGGUGACAUUAAAACAGGCGGAUCUCAGGGCUCGUGAGUAAUUCAGUCAGAAUUUGACAAUUUUAG
rnacentral:lncRNA from 1 species